UCCAUUCUUUUGACAAUCAUCUUCCAUUCGCUUGAUCUGAAUUCCAUAUUUUAGUAAAAAAGGUUUUUUAUUCUUAAGUAAUACCUUCUAAUCUCAAUUCAGUACAUCUAUAAUCGAGAAAAUGUUUUCUGGUUUGUUACAAAAUCGGGAAAGGCGAGAAGAUUUAUUUUGUUGAAUCGAAUUGAAGAUGUCUGUGUUUGGGUAGAUUAAUCCAAGAAUCGGCGGAUUCGAUUUUGAGAGUAUAAAAUGAGUAAUCAAUUCAAUUGAGUUGGUAUGUUGUCUAUCAUUCGGAAUUGCUUUAAUUUUAGAUUCUUAAAUUUGUAUAGGUUUAAACUCUUUCUCUACUGUUAUAUGUAUUGUACGGUCCUCCCAAUAGUUUGUUUUUGUUUGGGAAAAGUUAGAAAAGGCAAAACUGAAAGCUUUACUUGUUUUCCAGAUCGCUUCCGAGUAUCAAUUGAUAUGUACUUUAAUGUAGACCGGUAUAUUACGACAGAGUACAUGUUUUUGAAGCUUUCAAAUAUGGACGGCGGCAGCCAUUGCAGUGGUUGAUAGAAGAUAGAAGGCAGAAAGUUUUAAAGGUAUGAUGAUUGAACUUUUGGUAACUAACAUCGUAUUUAUAAGAGGGGUUGACGUAUCAAAUGUAGGUAUAAUUUCCUUGGUUUAAGUUUGGGAAUAUUCUGCAAAAUUGAGUAAGUAAAUAUAUUGGAAAAUAUUUCGUAUAUAUUGUUGGUAUUUGUAGUUAAGAUGAGAUUCUAAAAUAUUCCGAGUUAGGAAAUCUAGUACGUGUAUAAAGAAGCAGUUUAGUAAGAUUUCCUAAUUAUGCUAGGAGAUUGAUAUCUUUUAAAUUAAUUGAUGAGUUUGAAUAGCGUAGUUAUCGGCUAAGUUUGUGUAAUAGGGAGAUAAAUUGCGUAUAUCGUAAACAACCGACUACCCAUUAAUUAGCCCAUUUAAAUGUCAAUACGCGAAGACCAUUUAAAAGACACAAAAGUUUUCUAAGGGGGUGUUAUUGAAUAAUGGAUUUUAAAAGAUUUUGAUGUAUUUUGGAAUUCAGCGUUAUUCAAUUAGGUAUUUGAAAAAGUACAUUAAAAUCUGCUGUUAUUGGACUUAACAUUUGUUGGAUGAUUUUAAGUCACUUGUAAAAUCACUGUUAUUCUAUUUCCAAUGGAUUUUGUUUCACUUUA